rnacentral:rRNA from 1 species
GGAAAGGCGCGCGAUACAGGGUGACAGCCCCGUACACAAAAGCGCAUAUGCUGUGAGCUCGAUGAGUAGGGCGGGACACGUGGUAUCCUGUCUGAAUAUGGGGGGACCAUCCUCCAAGGCUAAAUACUCCUGACUGACCGAUAGUGAACCAGUACCGUGAGGGAAAGGCGAAAAGAACCCCGGCGAGGGGAGUGAAACAGAACCUGAAACCGUGUACGUACAAGCAGUGGGAGCCUCUCUUUAUGGGGGGUGACUGCGUACCUUUUGUAUAAUGGGUCAGCGACUUAUAUUCUGUAGCAAGGUUAACCGCAUAGGGGAGCCGAAGGGAAACCGAGUCUUAAUUGGGCGUUAAGUUGCAGGGUAUAGACCCGAAACCCGGUGAUCUAGCCAUGGGCAGGUUGAAGGUUGGGUAACACUAACUGGAGGACCGAACCGACUAAUGUUGAAAAAUUAGCGGAUGACCUGUGGCUGGGGGUGAAAGGCCAAUCAAACCGGGAGAUAGCUGGUUCUCCCCGAAAGCUAUUUAGGUAGCGCCUCGUGAACUCAUCUCCGGGGGUAGAGCACUGUUUCGGCUAGGGGGCCAUCCCGGCUUACCAACCCGAUGCAAACUGCGAAUACCGGAGAAUGUUAUCACGGGAGACACACGGCGGGUGCUAACGUCCGUCGUGAAGAGGGAAACAACCCAGACCGCCAGCUAAGGUCCCAAAGUCAUGGUUAAGUGGGAAACGAUGUGGGAAGGCCCAGACAGCCAGGAUGUUGGCUUAGAAGCAGCCAUCAUUUAAAGAAAGCGUAAUAGCUCACUGGUCGAGUCGGCCUGCGCGGAAGAUGUAACGGGGCUAAACCAUGCACCGAAGCUGCGGCAGCGACACUUUAGUGUUGUUGGGUAGGGGAGCGUUCUGUAAGCCGUUGAAGGUGUCCUGUGAGGGGUGCUGGAGGUAUCAGAAGUGCGAAUGCUGACAUAAGUAACGAUAAAGCGGGUGAAAAGCCCGCUCGCCGGAAGACCAAGGGUUCCUGUCCAACGUUAAUCGGGGCAGGGUGAGUCGACCCCUAAGGCGAGGCCGAAAGGCGUAGUCGAUGGGAAACGGGUUAAUAUUCCCGUACUUGGUGUUACUGCGAAGGGGGGACGGAGAAGG